rnacentral:lncRNA from 1 species
GAAACUUGAAUCCGGUUCUUCUUCUGGGAAUCAACGGCCAAGUUCAUGUUGUUCACUCCGUCUGUAAUCUCUUCCAUGGACUCUGAUUCAGGAAUCUGUAACCCUAAUUUGUUUGUUUCGAGGUGAGGUGAGGUGACGAGUCAAUCAAUAAAUUUAGAAGACAAGAUAGAGAGAGAGAGGCUUGUGGAGUUUGUGACCCGAUUCUUCUUACUAACCAUCCGGGUCAACCCGGUUUAGUGGAUUGGGUUGUUGGGCCUUUAAACUAUAGGUGUUUGGAAGAUUGUGUCAUCUACCUUCAUUUAUUUCUCUUUGGGCCUGUUUGUUUCUCCAUCUGGAUGGGCCAUCUGAAUGAAGAUGAGAGUUUUGUUUGUUUAGGCACUAAAACUGUAACUAAUUCAGAUGGAUCAUCCGGAUGACUUUUGAAAAUUUAGGCUUAAUUUUAAAGUUCAUUCAGCUGAACCAAUUUGGAUCAUUUGAAUGGAGAUGGUUCAUUCAAAAUUGUAUAAUGUCUAUUAUACCCCUAAUGUAAUUCACAAAUUACAAACCUAAACAUAAUAUCAUUUUGACACAAACGAAAACUGAUAAAACUACAAAAACACUUUUUCCCGUGCUAAAAACUAUUUUUUCACGCCAAAACCCCAAAACGCAUUUUCCCGCUAAAAUUGCAAAAAAAAUGUUUUCACGUCAAAAUUGCAAAAACGUAUUUUUCCGCAAAAACUGAAAACAUGUUUUCAUGCCAAAAUCACAAAAAAAUGUUUUCACGCCAACACCCCCAAAAUACAUUUUUCCGUCAAAACACAAAAAAAAACACGUUUUCCCGCCAAAGUCGCAAACCGUGUUUUCCCGCCAAAAUUGCAAAAAAAGUUGCAGCUGGUAGUAUAUCUCUAAUUUGCCUCACUGGUUCAGACAUGAAGGGAGAUGGUUGUCGCUUCAUAGCAUAUUGAGGUUGUUGUUGAUCCAUGGUCAUGGAUUUUGCGGCAGGUAAGAAACGGUUCAACAUGAAAUCCCGAGAUUGAUCAGGAUCCUGAGAGGCCAUUGGCGGUUUCGUUGCUUCAAUACUACCACUUACGCUUUGCUUUAGAGAUAAUGUGUCAAGGGCAUCAGAGAAGACAUCAUCAUCUUCACUUUCUUCUUCAAUUGCUUUCUCCAAGGAACUUUUGAAAACAACAGAAGCAGAUUCAGGAACAUGAUCCAAGCCAAGAACAGGAAGAGAAGGAGAUUCACUUGUCUUGGAGUCAUCAUGAGUAAGUUUCUUAGCCAUGUUUUUGCGCACAGAGACUGCUUCUUUCUUCAUCUCCCUUGUUGAAAGAAGAGGUGCCUCAAAGUUAAGUUUGCUUUCUGCCAUAGGAAACGUGCAGGUGAACCAAACAAAGCCGUUAGAAAAGCUCAGUGAUCGAUGAGCUGAUAGUUGACUAACACUUGCACAUGAUGUUCACAGUUCUCCAAAACAGAUCUGAACAAAAAAAAUUCAUAGAUAAAUAAUAAAACUAGAGCAACCUAGAUUCCAUUUAUUAAUAGCUGAUUAAUUAAAUAAUUACAGACACUGAGAUAUAUGCACCAACGACAAAUCUGAAGGUGGAAACUUACAAAAAGAAAAAACCUGUGAAAUGGACUUUACUAGAAACUAGUAUUAAUUAGUUAUAAAUGCGCAGCUAAACUUUCAAACACCAUAUAAGAGUGUGAUCAUCAUCUUUGAAGCAAGCAAGUAGGAAACAAGUAAAGCGGGGUAAACAAUGCAUGAUUCAAUCUAUGGCAAUGAAGAAUCAAGAGAGAGAGAUUUCAAAACUAUUUCUUAAAGGACUAGUUAUAAAGAACAAGUAAUGAAAUCAACUAACCAGGGAGAUGGAAGGAGAGAAGCUUCUGCAACGGGAGUGUUUGUGUGAGUGAGGUGAGAAAAGGGAGAGACACUACUUGAUGAGUUUGAGAAGAAGUAAACACAAAGGCAUCAGAGAUAAGGAGUAAGCUUUUGGUUACGUGUAAAUGUGUUUUUGUGCCUUGAAGAUGACGGUUACCAAGUCACGAGACGAUAUAUAUUCUUGUUUUCAAGCCCCAAUUGAUGAGAGUAUUUAAUUCCAUUAACGUCUCCUCAACUAACUUCUGAGAUGUAAUAAUGUGACAAACAUCAAUUCUACAGAUACACUUCAUACUGUGAAAAGUAUGAAUCUUUUUCUUUUCUCUUUUUGCCUAACUUAAUGGUUUGCACGUUACGCUAAAGGAAAAGGCAAUUGUAGAGAUGGUAAGAAAAAUCUAUGGCUCGGAUGUGAAGACAACAAAAGAAACAUCUUCAAUGUUCAUAUCAUAUAGUAUUGUAGGUAAAGUGUUUUAACAGGUACAACAAACCAUCCCAACAUAACAACUCAGAUUCAGCCAAAAAUCAAUGAAAUUAAACAAAUAAUAUAAAGCAUCACGAGAGAAGAAAAGACCCAUGAAACCAUAACCAUAAGAACGUUACGUUCAGCUCUGCACCUGAGCUUCUGCAGCUUCUUUUUCUUCAUUGGCUGCAGCCAUUAGCUCAUCAAACUUCUCUGACUUGCCAAGCGUAAUUUCAAUCUGCAAGACCAAAGAUAAUCAAAUUUUGACAACUCACGGAAAAGCUCGAUGACAAUCAAUCAUCCCAUGAAAACUACCUUAGGUUUCUGCACAGGACGUCCCCUUGAGCCAUCCUUAAUAUCAACAGUUGAAGUCAUGAUCUCUAUACACACAUACAAAAACAAAGCUUAGUUGCCAAAUCUCCAAAUCGUAUAAAUAUAAAAACUAAAAUCCAAGAAACUGACUCUUUUCAACAGCAAAACCAUUGUUCUUGAGUAUUUCAGCAAUGGUAACAACGGUUGCAAUGGCUGCACAUUUAGCAACAUGUUCCAAUAGAAACUCAAUUAGGACAAAGGCUAUAUAACCAAUAAUAAACACAAUAACAGUUACAGAAGAGGGAUAUUAAGAAGACACAUACCCAUCCCAAGGGCAGACAAUUCGACAUCAUUGUGCUCUUGCAUAUACCUCUGAAACAAGAGUCAAAAACAAAACCCAGUUACAUCAAUAUCUAACAAGAUCCUAAAACACACAUGUAACAACCAAUCAAAGCUUAGACCUUUGUGAUUCUCACAAGACAGCUAGAGUAUAGAAAUUUCCAGAAAGAUUGAACCUUUUGAAUGGAUAAGAGUCACACAAUGAUCGAAACAGAUCGUCGAGUCGAGAAAAUAAAAAGAAAAGCGUGUACCUUGGCGAGGUUGACGUAGAAGAACAAUGGUUUCUUGGUGUUGGAAACUUGAAUCCGGUUCUUCUUCUGGGAAUCAACGGCCAAGUUCAUGUUGUUCACUCCGUCUGUAAUCUCUUCCAUGGACUCUGAUUCAGGAAUCUGUAACCCUAAUUUGUUUGUUUCGAGGUGAGGUGAGGUGACGAGUCAAUCAAUAAAUUUAGAAGACAAGAUAGAGAGAGAGAGGCUUGUGGAGUUUGUGACCCGAUUCUUCUUACUAACCAUCCGGGUCAACCCGGUUUAGUGGAUUGGGUUGUUGGGCCUUUAAACUAUAGGUGUUUGGGAAACCAAAAAAUGUGUUUUCCCGCCAAAACCAAAAAAACGUGUUUUCUCGCCAAAACCGAAAAUUUGUAUUUUCCCCUAUAGGUGUUUGGAAGAUUGUGUCAUCUACCUUCAUUUAUUUCUCU